CCUACGGGAGGCAGCAGUGAGGAAUAUUGGUCAAUGGACGAGAGUCUGAACCAGCCAAGUAGCGUGAAGGAUGACUGCCCUAUGGGUUGUAAACUUCUUUUAUAUGGGAAUAAAACGUUCCACGUGUGGGCUUUUGUAUGUACCCUGUGAAUAAAGCUCGGCUAACUCCGUGCCAGCCGCCGCGGUAAUUCGGAGGAUCCGAGCGUUAUCCGGAUUUAUUGGGUUUAAAGGGGGCGUAGGUGGGGUUUUAAGGACGUUGGGAAAGUUUGCGGCUCAAACGUAAAAUUGCAAUUGAUACUGGCAGUCUUGAGUACAGUUGAGGUAAGCGGAAUUCGUGGUGUAGCGGUGAAAUGCUUAGAUAUCACGAAGAACCCCGAUUGCGAAGGCAGCUUACUAAACUGUGACUGACAUUGAGGCUCGAAAGUGUGGGUAUCAAACAGGAUUAGAUACCCGUGUAGUC
rnacentral:rRNA from 1 species